rnacentral:rRNA from 1 species
GAUGAACGCUGGCGGCGUGCCUAAUACAUGCAAGUCGAGCGAACAGAUGAGGAGCUUGCUCCUCUGACGUUAGCGGCGGACGGGUGAGUAACACGUGGAUAACCUACCUAUAAGACUGGGAUAACUUCGGGAAACCGGAGCUAGUACCGGAUAAUAUAUUGAACCGCAUGGUUCAAUAGUGAAAGACGGUUUUGCUGUCACUUAUAGAUGGAUCCGCGCCGCAUUAGCUAGUUGGUAAGGUAACGGCUUACCAAGGCAACGAUGCGUAGCCGACCUGAGAGGGUGAUCGGCCACACUGGAACUGAGACACGGUCCAGACUCCUACGGGAGGCAGCAGUAGGGAAUCUUCCGCAAUGGGCGAAAGCCUGACGGAGCAACGCCGCGUGAGUGAUGAAGGUCUUCGGAUCGUAAAACCCUGUUAUUAGGGAAGAACAAAUGUGUAAGUAACUAUGCACGUCUUGACGGUACCUAAUCAGAAAGCCACGGCUAACUACGUG